rnacentral:rRNA from 1 species
GAUGAACGCUGGCGGCGUGCCUAAUACAUGCAAGUCGAACGGGGAGUAGCAAUACUCUUAGUGGCGAACGGGUGAGUAACGCGUUGGUACCUGCCCCGAAGCGGGGGAUAACGGACCGAAAGGUCCGCUAAUACCCCAUGUGCUCGGUAACGAGUAAAGGUGAAAACCACUUUGGGAGGGGCAUGCGUCCCAUCAGCUAGUUGGUAAGGUAACGGCUUACCAAGGCGAUGACGGGUAGGGGACCUGAGAGGGUGGCCCCCCACAAUGGAACUGAAACACGGUCCAUACACCUACGGGUGGCAGCAGUAGGGAAUAUUGGGAAUGGGCGCAAGCCUGAACCAGCAACGCCGCGUGUGCGAUGACGGCCUUCGGGUUGUAAAGCACUUUUGACUGGGACGAGGAAGGACGGUACCGGUCGAAUCAGCCUCGGCUAACUACGUG